rnacentral:rRNA from 1 species
GACGAACGCUGGCGGCAUGCCUAACACAUGCAAGUCGAACGGAGUUACUUAUUUAGAUCCCUUCGGGGUGACGAAUAUUUAACUUAGUGGCGGACGGGUGAGUAACGCGUGAGGAACCUGCCCUACAGAGGGGGACAACAGUUGGAAACGACUGCUAAUACCGCAUAACGUAUUUUAGGGACAUCCCUUUAAAUACCAAAGGAGCAAUCCGCUGUAGGAUGGCCUCGCGUCCGAUUAGAUAGUAGGCGGGGUAACGGCCCACCUAGUCGACGAUCAGUAGCCGGUCUGAGAGGAUGAACGGCCACAUUGGGACUGAGAUACGGCCCAG